rnacentral:rRNA from 1 species
GCUGGCGGCACGCCUAACACAUGCAAGUCGAACGAAGUAGCAAUACUUAGUGGCAGACGGGUGAGUAACAUGUGGGUAUCUGCCCUUUGGCCUGGAAUAACACGAGGAAACUUGUGCUAAUACCGGAUAAGUCUUUACGGAGAAAGCUUUAUGCACCAUUGGAUGAGCCCGCACUUGAUUAGUUUGUUGGUAGGGUAAUGGCCUACCAAGACUGUGAUCAAUAGCUGAUUUGAGAGGAUGAUCAGCCACAUUGGGACUGAGACACGGCCCAAACUCCUACGGGAGGCAGCAGUGGGGAAUCUUGCACAAUGGAGGAAACUCUGAUGCAGCGAUGCCGCGUGAGUGAAGAAGGCCUUUGGGUUGUAAAGCUCUUUCGUCGGGGAAGAAAAUGACUGUACCCGAAUAAGAAGGUCCGGCUAACUUCGUGCCAGCAGCCGCGGUAAUACGAAGGGACCUAGCGUAGUUCGGAAUUACUGGGCUUAAAGAGUUCGUAGGUGGUUGAAAAAGUUGGUGGUGAAAUCCCAGAGCUUAACUCUGGAACUGCCAUCAAAACUUUUCAGCUAGAGUUUGAUAGAGGAAAGCAGAAUUUCUAGUGUAGAGGUGAAAUUCGUAGAUAUUAGAAAGAAUACCAAUUGCGAAGGCAGCUUUCUGGAUCAUUACUGACACUGAGGAACGAAAGCAUGGGUAGCGAAGAGGAUUAGAUACCCUCGUAGUCCAUGCCGUAAACGAUGUGUGUUAGACGUUGGAAAUUUAUUUUCAGUGUCGCAGUGAAAGCGAUAAACACACCGCCUGGGGAGUACGAC